rnacentral:rRNA from 1 species
GAUGCUAAUACCGGAUAACAACAGAUGAUGCCUAUCAACUGUUUAAAAGAUGGUUCUGCUAUCACUCUUGGAUGGACCUGCGGUGCAUUAGCUAGUUGGUAGGGUAACGGCCUACCAAGGCGAUGAUGCAUAGCCGAGUUGAGAGACUGAUCGGCCACAUUGGGACUGAGACACGGCCCAAACUCCUACGGGAGGCAGCAGA